GCACACCCCGCCCGCCAAGCGCACGCGCCGCUCAAAUAUAAUGCGAUGACGUGGCGAGAGUGUCGGCGGAGUGAUGUCCGUCACGUGGCGCGCCUCCGACACGGACAGCGCCUCGCCGCGACCGGGAGCUUUACUGUAGAGCACGAACUGUAGCUCGUUAUAUUUUUGAUAUAUUUUUUGUAUGAUUUUUAUACUUUGUUUUUGUUAAGAAUUAAGAAAGUUUAUACUGAAUAAAGACUGCAAGCCUUGAGCA
rnacentral:lncRNA from 1 species